rnacentral:rRNA from 1 species
UAUUUAAGUUGUUGCAGUUAAAAAGCUCGUAGUCGGAUUUUGGCUGAGAACGGUCGGUCCGCCGUUAGGUGUGCACUGACUGGUCUCAGCUUCCUGGUGAGGAGGUGUGCUUCAUCGCCACUUAGUCACCGUGGUUACUUUGAAAAAAUUAGAGUGUUCAAAGCGGGCUUACGCUUGAAUAUAUUAGCAUGGAAUAACACCAUAGGACUCCUGUCCUAUUUCGUUGGUCUCGGGACGGGAGUAAUGAUUAAGAGGAACAGUUGGGGGCAUUCGUAUUUCAUUGUCAGAGGUGAAAUUCUUGGAUUUAUGAAAGACGAACUUCUGCGAAAGCAUUUGCCAAGGAUGUUUUCAUUGAUCAAGAACGAAAGUUGGGGGCUCGAAGAUGAUUAGAUACCAUCCUAGUCUCAACCAUAAACGAUGCCGACUAGGGAUUGGCGGAUGUUAAUUGAUGACUUCGCCAGCACCUUAUGAGAAAUCAAAGUUUUUGGGUUCCGGGGGGAGUAUGGUCGCAAGGCUGAAACUUAAAGGAAUUGACGGAAGGGCACCACCA